GACGAACGCUGGCGGCGUGCCUAAUACAUGCAAGUAGAACGCUGAAGCUUGGUGCUUGCACCGAGCGGAUGAGUUGCGAACGGGUGAGUAACGCGUAGGUAACCUGCCUGGUAGCGGGGGAUAACUAUUGGAAACGAUAGCUAAUACCGCAUAAGAGUAGAUGUUGCAUGACAUUUGCUUAAAAGGUGCAAUUGCAUCACUACCAGAUGGACCUGCGUUGUAUUAGCUAGUUGGUGAGGUAACGGCUCACCAAGGCAACGAUACAUAGCCGACCUGAGAGGGUGAUCGGCCACACUGGGACUGAGACACGGCCCAGACUCCUACGGGAGGCAGCAGUAGGGAAUCUUCGGCAAUGGACGGAAGUCUGACCGAGCAACGCCGCGUGAGUGAAGAAGGUUUUCGGAUCGUAAAGCUCUGUUGUAAGAGAAGAACGAGUGUGAGAGUGGAAAGUUCACACUGUGACGGCAUCUUACCAGAAAGGGACGGCUAACUACGUG
rnacentral:rRNA from 1 species